rnacentral:rRNA from 1 species
UUGUAACUUAAAUUCUACUGGAGUAAUAAAAGUUAAGAUCUUCAAACUCAAAAGAUUUGGCGGUAUUUUAUCUUAUUAGAGGAACCUGCUUAUUAAUUGAUAUUCCACAACUAUAAUUUACUUUUAUCAAAUUACCUGUAUGCCGCCGUCAUGAGUAUACUGGAAAGUUUAUUUUCUUCUUUUUUAUCAAAUUUAUGUUAGGUCAAGGUGCAGUUUAUAAAAGAAUAAUGUGGGUUACAAUAUAAAUUAUGAAUGGAUUGUUUAAUAUAAAAUUAUAAGGAAAAAGGAUUUAAAAGUAAAAUUAUUAUAGAAAUAAUAUGAAUUUAGAUUCUAAAAUAUGU